rnacentral:rRNA from 1 species
UCCCAGACUCCUACGGGAGGCAGCAGUGGGGAAUAUUGCACAAUGGGGGAAACCCUGAUGCAGCGACGCCGCGUGAGUGAAGAAGUAUUUCGGUAUGUAAAGCUCUAUCAGCAGGGAAGAAAAUGACGGUACCUGAUUAAGAAGCCCCGGCUAACUACGUGCCAGCAGCCGCGGUAAUACGUAGGGAGCAAGCGUUAUCCGGAUUUAUUGGGUGUAAAGGGUGCGUAGACGGGAAGGCAAGUUGGUUGUGAAAUCCCUCGGCUUAACUGAGGAACUGCAACCAAAACUAUCUUUCUUGAGUGCUGGAGAGGAAAGUGGAAUUCCUAGUGUAGCGGUGAAAUGCGUAGAUAUUAGGAGGAACACCAGUGGCGAAGGCGACUUUCUGGACAGUAACUGACGUUGAGGCACGAAAGUGUGGGGAGCAAACAGGAUUAGAUACCCUAGUAAA